rnacentral:rRNA from 1 species
AGUCGACGAGUGGCGGACGGGUGAGUAAUGCAUAGGAAUCUACCCAGUAGCGGGGGACAACGUGUGGAAACGCACGCUAAUACCGCAUACGCCUUACGGGGGAAAGCGGGGGACCUUCGGGCCUCGCACUAUUGGAUGAGCCUGCGUUGGAUUAGCUAGUUGGUAGGGUAAAGGCCUACCAAGGCGACGAUCCAUAACUGGUCUGAGAGGAUGAUCAGUCACACUGGAACUGAGACACGGUCCAGACUCC